UUUGUAGGAUGAGAAGGUG
rnacentral:miRNA from 1 species